rnacentral:rRNA from 1 species
AUUGAACGCUGGCGGCAGGCCUAACACAUGCAAGUCGAACGGUAACAGGGAUCGGCUUGCUGAUUCGCUGACGAGUGGCGGACGGGUGAGUAAUGUCUGGGAAACUGCCCGAUGGAGGGGGAUAACUACUGGAAACGGUAGCUAAUACCGCAUAACGUCGCAAGACCAAAAAGGGGGAGCUUCGGGCCCCUUGCCAGCGGGUGUGCCCGGAUGGGGGUAGCUAGUAGGGGGGGGAACGGCUCACCUAGGCGACGAGCCCCAGCUGGUCUGAGAGGAUGACAAGCCACCCUUGGACUGGGACCCGGUCCCGACUCCUACGGGAGGCAGCAGUGGGGGAUUUUGCACCAUGGGCGCAAGCCUUAUGCAGCCAUGCCGCGUGUAUGAAGAAGGCCUUCGGGUUGUAAAGUACUUUCAGCGGGGAGGAAGGGAGUAAAGUUAAUACCUUUGCUCAUUGGCGUUUCCCGCAGAAGAAGCCCCGGCUUACCCCGUGC